CGCACGCCCCUUCAUUAUCAUUAAAACGGGAGCUCUAAGCCACGCCCCCUCCCGAUUAGUUUCCAUUGGGACAUUCUUAAGCCACGCCCCCUCACUCAUUCCCGCUCUCUCUUCGCGGCACUUUCCGUCGCGCUUUGAUGACCGCUUCACCCUGUCACGCGUACAGGUCCACGUGGCGCCCAACAUGGCCGCCCCCACGGGGGCGCUAUGGCGCGGUUGCUGCGCCACGUUUCUUCCUUCCGGGCUUUGUGCCAGCGGCGCCGCGGCGGAACAGGCCGAAAAAGUCACGGUGAACGUGGUGUUCGUGGAUGGAAAACAGGCGCACGGGUGAAGGUGACCGGAAGAGUCGCGGGACAACGUGAUGCGGCCUCGGCAGGGACAACGGGGUCAGCAUCGAGGGUACGGGAUAUAUAG
rnacentral:lncRNA from 1 species